rnacentral:lncRNA from 1 species
GCACAGUUAUAUAUUUUUAUGUAUUUUAUUGUCUUUUGCGUUCAAUGGAGUUUUGCCUCUGUCCUUGGAGAUAAUUGGAUUACUUCCCAAUUAUCUCCAGGAUAGAAGACUCUGUGGAACUGGUUUUGGGCAGAAAAGCAAUGCUUCAUUUGGUCACAAAGGACUUCGAUUUAUCUUUUGAUCUACUGGACAGAUUUUUAGGAUUUUUG